rnacentral:lncRNA from 1 species
UUUUUUUUUUUUUUUUGAAAUGACUCGGGUUAAUGGAUAUCGGGUUAACGGGUCGAAACCUUACCCGCACUGUGGAUCUUCUUCCACCUUCGACGAAUCCGACGGUCGCGUUCGACGAAUCCGAAGGUCGCGCCUGAUUUCGCGGCGGUGGUUGCGGGGAGGCGUUGCGCCGGUGGAGCGGGGUGCUGGUGCGGCAGUGA